rnacentral:rRNA from 1 species
UGGGGAAUAUUGCACAAUGGGCGCAAGCCUGAUGCAGCCAUGCCGCGUGUGUGAAGAAGGCCUUCGGGUUGUAAAGCACUUUCAGCGAGGAGGAAGGUGGUGAGCUUAAUACGCUCAUCAAUUGACGUUACUCGCAGAAGAAGCACCGGCUAACUCCGUGCCAGCAGCCGCGGUAAUACGGAGGGUGCAAGCGUUAAUCGGAAUUACUGGGCGUAAAGCGCACGCAGGCGGUUUGUUAAGUCAGAUGUGAAAUCCCCGGGCUCAACCUGGGAACUGCAUUUGAAACUGGCAAGCUAGAGUCUCGUAGAGGGGGGUAGAAUUCCAGGUGUAGCGGUGAAAUGCGUAGAGAUCUGGAGGAAUACCGGUGGCGAAGGCGGCCCCCUGGACGAAGACUGACGCUCAGGUGCGAAAGCGUGGGGCAGCAAACAGGAUUAGAUA